UUCAAAGCUCUGCAAUGAGGUAGAUGGGAGGUCAAGACUUCACACUCGCUGAUGAGAGAACCAUUCAGUUGCCUGAUUAUAGUUGGGAAGAAACUGUCCCUGAAUCUGGAGGUAUGCUUUUUCAAACCUCUGUACCUCUUGCCCGAUGUGAGAGGGGAGAAGAGGGAAUAACCGGGGUGAGAUUGGGCCCUCAUUAUGUUGGUGGCCUUGCCGAGGCAGCGUGAGGUGUAAAUGGAGUCAACGGAAAGGCGUUGGUUUGCGUGAUGUUCUGGGCUGUGUCCACAACUCUGCAAUUUUUUGGGGGUUUGGAUGGAGCUGUUCCAAAACCAGGCGGUACGGCGCAUCUGUCGAAGUUAGUGGGGAUUGUCGGGGAUAUGCUGAACAUCCUAAGCCUUCUAAGGAAGUAGAGGCGUUCGUGUGCUUUCUUCGCCAUAGCUUCAAUGUGGCCAAGACAUUUCACUGUACCUUGGUACAUGUCACAAUAAUAAACCGAAACCAAUGUUAAACACCAAUCUAUUUCUUUAACACUCUUUCUUUCAUCUUUAGUAUAGUAUCACAUUCAACGAGGUAGUUCAUUAGUCAUAGGGGCAGAAUUAGGCCAUUCGGUCCAUCAAGACUACUCCGCCAUUCAAUCAUGGAUGAUCUAUCUUUCCCUCUUAACCCCAUUCUCCUGCCAUCGCCCCAUGACCCUUGAUAUCUUUACUAAUCAAGAAUCUGUCAAUCUAGCUGUAAAAUAUGGCCAAUGAUGGCCUCCACAGCCAUCGGUGGCAAUUAAUUAGAUUCACCUCCCUCUUGACUAAAGAAAUCCCUCCUUAUCUCCUUCCUAACAAAUUAUGAGGCUGUGCCCACUGGUCCUGGACUCUCCCACUAGUGGAAACGUCCUCUCUAUCCAGACCUUUUACUAUUCUGUAAGUUUAAAAAAAAAAAAAUAUAUUAAUUAGAAGUGAGUACAAUGCAUUAGUACAGAAAUUAUGUUAACAUAUUACAUUCUCUGUACAACCUCCCUUUUUUUAAUUUUAAGAGAGAAGUGAGAAAAGAGAGAAGGAAAAGAGGUUGUGAAAAUUGAAGAAUAGACUAGUGAGCGUGAGUGAAAGAGAAGGAAUAAGUGAAGAAGGAAAGCAGGAGGGAGAUUAUUCAAUCGCCACAAUGAGAUGACUUUUUAAUAUUCUAAAUCAUCUUUCACCCAUACCUGAAACUUUUAGUUUUCAUGAUACUAUGUCACCACAUGAAUCCAAGAAAUCAAUAAAUGGGGACCAACUCCUUAAGUUGUUUUGUCUUGUUUGUCUAUUAGGAGGAGUCUCAUUUCUUCCAAAUGUGCUGUGUCCAGCAUAUUACUAAUCCACAUUUUAAAUGUUGGUAUAUUAGCAUAUUCGUUAAGAUUCAAUGAGGUCCACCCUCAUCCUUCUAAACUCCAGCGAGUACAGGCCCCGGUGCCAUCACACGCUCAUCAUGCAUUAACCCAAUCAUCCCUGGGAUCAUUCUCGUACACCUCGUCUGGACCCUCUCCAAUGCCAGCACAUCAAAUAUGGGUCCCAAAACUGCUCACAGUACAGUGAAAAGCUUUUUGUUGCUCGCUAUUCAGUCAGUGAAAAGAAGAUACUUGAUUACAAUCCUGCCGUGCACAAUGGAGAUACAGGAUACAGGGAAGAACAUUUAGUGCAAGAUAAAGCCCAGUAAAGUCCCAUUAAAGAUAGUUUGAAGGUCUCCAGUGAGAUGGAUAGUAGCUCAGGGCUGCUCCCUAGUUGGCGUUAGGAUGGUUCAGUUGAUAACAACUGGGAGGAAAUUAUCCCUGAAUCUGGAGGUGUGCGUUUUCACACUUCUUUACCUCUUGCCCGAUGGGAGAGGGGAGAAGAGGGAGUGACCGGGGUGAGACUGGUCCUUGAUUAUGCUGCUGGCCUUGCCGAGGCAGCUUGACGUGUAGAUGGAGUCAAUAGAUGGGAGGGUGCUUUGCUUUAGGAGAUCCCCAUGCCAGGAGCCCAUCUCCCAACUUGAAAACCGAGGGGAGCCGAGUCCCUUCAAUAGAAAUAAAGGUCACAUCCAGUAACAAAAAAAAUUUAUUCAAAGUUUCAUUAAUACAUACUGAACAGGUUAUCUACAAAUCUAUGGUCAGGUAACAUUUUCUUCCUGCUAAGUUACACUGAAUAUACAGCACAAGAUAUAAAAGCAAAAAAAAAAAAAAAAAAAAAAAAAUUAUUGGAACUCAAGA